rnacentral:lncRNA from 1 species
AUUACAACAGUUCCAGGUGAAGACAAUGUUGUCAAAAGGCUUCCAAUCCCUCCAACUUUCUGACCUGAAGAAUGAAAGCAUUCUGUCUCUGGGCUCCUAAGAUCAGAAAUGUUGGACGAGCUUCAAUGAAUGAGAAACUGUGAGUUACCUGCAAAAGAUAAAAGCAAAACAGAAUGCAUUGAUGAAGAUAAUUCAAUCAGCAUGCACAGCAUAUAAUUGUUAUAGAUUGGGUAACUUCAUCAAGACUUCUCCAUGACUGAAGAUGGUGGAUUCUGAAGGAUUGGUUACUUGAACUACAGCAGAUUUACAACCAGCAAAGUAGACUACAAACAAGCUACUUGCGAAGAUCAUUAUCUGUUAAGACCCCAUUGCAGAGAAGUUAAAGAGCUUCAAUCACCAUGCUUUCAGGGUCAAUCUGUCUCUGAGAAGGAACAGAUGGGGAAGAAUUAUUCAAUUCACAGUUGACUUUUCAGAAAUUCCAGGAUCUUGGACUGGCUGAAAGCAAUGAUCUUGCCAGUCAUCCUUUCACGUAUUCAUUAUGGUCUACAGCUGAGAAGGGCUGUUUGGGGUUUGCUUUGCCUGAUGGUAGCAGAAGAAAACCAAGAGGCCUCUCUACGAAAGCUUGCAGUAAG